CUCACCACUUGUAACAAAACUGCCACAUUCAACCAAACUCAAACCCCAAGGAACCCUUUAAGGUUCUGCUCUUUCCUCAAGCUUGUUCUGCUUCAGCUUCUUCUUGCCACCUGAAGCAGUCAGUCUGCACCAACCGGGCCCAGAUAAGAUCGAUGGUUUUGAUGCAUGAGGUGGCCAAAAAGCUUCCAGCUUGGCUUUAGUGUCUAAUAAGUAUCUGAUAAGAUUUGAGGAUAACUUUCAACAGUGGCAACCAAAGUGUUGAUAUUGUUCCAAGAAGCAGCAUUGGGAUCAAAAGGAUGACCAAUGAGGAACUAAAUAUGCUUCCUUGCUUUGACUACAUGGCAGGAGAGAAAGGGACUAGCCUUGUGGAUUGUGCAGUUUGCUUGGAAAAUUUCAAGGCAGGGGAGAGGUGCAGACAGUUGCCUAAUUGCAGGCACAACUUCCAUGCUCAAUGCAUAGACACAUGGUUGUUGAAGACGCCGGUUUGCCCGGUGUGUCGAACUUGUGCUAAAACUCCGAAGAUUGAUGUGAGUUUGGGAGAGGAAAGUAGUGUUGCAGGUGAUUAUCGAAUUGAAUUGACAUAGAAUGAAGGUUACCUUGCA